AGAGCGAACGCUGGCGGCAGGCCUAAUACAUGCAAGUCGAACGGCUCUUCGGAGCAGUGGCGGACGGGUGAGUAACGCGUGGGAAUGUGCCCUUUGGUACGGAACAACUGAGGGAAACUUCAGCUAAUACCGUAUGUGCCCUUCGGGGGAAAGAUUUAUUGCCAUUGGAGCAGCCCGCGUUGGAUUAGCUAGUUGGUGGGUAAAGCCCACAAGGCGACGAUCCAUAGCUGGUCUGAGAGGAUGAUCAGCCACACUGGGACUGAGACACGGCCCAGACUCCUACGGGAGGCAGCAGUAGGGAAUAUUGGACAAUGGGGGCAACCCUGAUCCAGCAAUGCCGCGUGAGUGAUGAAGGCCUUAGGGUGUAAAGCUCUUUACCCGAGAUGAUAAUGACAGUAUACGGAGAAUAAGCUACCGGCUAACUCCGUGACCAGCACGCCGC
rnacentral:rRNA from 1 species